CUUUCAUCUCACCGCAGCUUUUCGUUUUCCUGAAAAUGACGUUUUUGUCAAAAUUGGCCAGCGAGGGCACUUUCCUAAAAGAUACGCUUCCCAAUAGAAAUGUUGACUUAAACAUUACAAAAAAUGUAAAGGCUUUCUUUCAUUCAGAACACUUCCAGAAAAUUUGACUAGCACUCUCAUUGUAGUUUAAAAACUGUGGGUCAUUUUAUGUCAUGAAAAUAUCCUGCAUUGGAGCCUAUGGCCCGUAUUCUGAACUCGGGUUUAAUUUAAACUCUGGUUUAAAGUUGUGGUUUAACUAUGGAGAGCCAGUUGUGACACAAAUCUCAAACAGUAAAGAACAAUUUAUCAGCUCAUUUGAUACACAAUUUAUUCAUAAAUGUUAGGAAAUGAUAUCUAAAAUGGUUUUAUUCACAAUUAAAGCACUAGGAAAGAGCAAAAUAAACAUUGGAAACAAACAUUAUAAACGAACUUUUGAUAUUUUUGGCUUCCAAUAAUUUUAGCACAGAGUUAGACCAUGGUCUAAGUUAAACCCGACUUCAGAAUACGGGCCUAAGUAUACAAAGUUUGUUGACCCCUGUAUAAUUCAAUGGGAGAAUUUUGCGAACUUUAAAUUGAUGCCACAAGAAAACUGUUAAUGUUCCACAGAUGUAAUCUUCAUGAUAUAUUGAGUUGAUAAUCCUGAUGAUGACCAAUUACUUAAAAACCAAAAUUUACGAUUGAGUACGUGCUUUUGAGGAUAGUGCCCUCGCAGUCCAUUUUUAAGCAAAAACAACAUUUUCUGGAAAACGGAAACCUGUGGUGAGAUGAAAGUUGCACAAAAUGACUCCCAAUACCCCAAAACAUGGGUAUUGCCACCAAAAUCAAGUAAAUUGAACAAAGAAUAAAAAAAGUUAUGGUCAAAAAUUGAAUUUUCGACAAUUUGGCGGCCAUUUUGGAUAUUUCGUCAGGGCACCCUGAUUUUCACACUUUUUCAUUUUUUUUUUCAGAAAUUGCAUCGGGACUAUCAAAAUAAUUAUUUUAUUUGGUGCUCAGGGUGAUCUGAGACAAUGACCCAAAUAUGACCCUCUAUAGCCCACCUCUAAUCAUAAGUUGUUUUUUUUUUCUCCAGAUUCAUCCGAUUCUGACCUAGAUUUCAAGCGAAAGAAGUGUCUCAGGCUGCCUGAUGAUGAAUCUGAUUCAGACAUUGGCAUGGAAAAGAAAAAGAAGCGUCUGAUGCAGUCAAAGAAAAGAAGCGUCCGAUAGCGUCAGAUAGUGAUUGUGAUUCAGACAUUGAUUUGGAUGAAGAAAGAAGAAAAAGAAACGUCUGAUGCGGUCAGAUAAUGGUACUAAGCAAAAACGGCGAUGGUCACAAAAGAAGUUGGAGGUAUUUAGUAAGAACGUUGCAGUUUACAUUGAAAGAAAGGUCAUGCCUCCAAGGAUUGUUCUUGACAGGGUUGUUGUGCAACUGGCUCAUUCAAGGACUGUUGCUCAAAUAAGAUCAAGAGCAAACAAUAUGAUAAAGGAGAAACAAGUAUUUAUACUGUAGCUAGUCCAGUUUUGUUCAACACUACAAAACAAAACCCAGGUUGUUAGUGUUCUGGUCAAAAUACUAAGAAAAAUUUAAUUAAAUAAUUUUAAAGAGAUCAUUUAUUAUUUUAACUGAUAUCCAUAAGAACUUGUUUUUUCGCAAAUUUUCUCUAUUUUCGGCAAAAUUUUACACAACUUUAGAAAAUUUUGGAAAAUGUGGGCUUUAAAAACGGGUAUUUGGCCAAAAGUAUACCCUUAAGAACUGAAUUUUUUUCAAAAUUAUCAAAAAGUAUACCCUUAGGAGCGAUUGGGAAGAUCUGGGAAGGCCAAAAAAGACACCCAUUCGCGCCGAACAUACAUAUACCACCCAAUAUGUUGAGUGCUUUGUGACCACAAGGGUAUAAUUAUUAUCGUAUGGUAUCAUAUUUUAUUACAUUUUUUUUUUUACUAGAAGUUGUUCAGUCUAUAUACGACACCAUUUCAGGUUUUAAGCAGGUUUCACUGACAAAGUGUGUAAAAAAUCACAGCAGAGUAAUUAUAGCCAUGCUAUACAUCAAAAGUACGUUUUCUAGGGUAAAAAUGGAUGUAGAUUGUGAAUUUUUAGUCCAAAACCUUGUUUUAUACAGCAUUUCGCCACAAAUCAUGGAUUUAUGGCCAAUUUUGCCUGAAAACGGCACUUUUUCAGUGACAAAAAAAUUUACUUCCUAUCUUUAAAUACCUGUAGGCUCAACAAUAUGCAUACAUACGGCCAUUUUUAAUGUUUCUGUAUCAGCCCAGUAAACAGUCUGAUGGAUUCUUUUAUUUGUUUUGAAAUUGGUUUCAUACUUUUUGUGCAACAGCCAUUCAAAAAUGACGCAUCCUGUGACAAUUGACUUUCAAAAUUUAGCAGUUUCGGACAAAAAAAAUUGAUUUGAAAAAUCAUAUCUCUUCAGUCCAAGGGGCUACAUUAAUAAUUUACAUACCAAAAUAUGCAGAAUUUAAUAAGCUUUAAUUUGGUGCCUAAUUUAAUGUAUUUCUGGGAGGAGAAUGAUAUAAAAAUGAUAAAAAGUUAUUCCCACUCCCUAAUUUUUUAAUUUGUGUAAAAAAUAAAGAAAUUUACAAAACGGGCAAGUAUGCAAAAGUAUAGGACCUAUAGGCUUAAAAAUUUAAUCAGUUAUGCUCAUUAUAAGUCUCUACUUGGGCAUAGGAUAAAUUGUUUUAAUAUUUCAACUAUUUCUUUCUAUUUAUUUUUUUUUUACAAUUUUUGUCAUCCAAAAUUUAGACAAAAAUUUGCCAUUUUGAGGGCUCAUUAAAAAAAUUACAAGGCCAAUAUGGUUGAAAAGUUAAUGAGUAAUUCCCAGAAAAUAUUACUACAAGGUAAAAUUCACAAAAUUGGCAAAAUGCUCAUAUUUCUUUUGAAUUAUUUUUUUUUACAAAGUUAGUGACAAUCCUCAGAAGGUAUUGUGCAAUCAUAAGCCAGUAUUGCGCAAUCGUUCAACCAAAAUGCUGUUUAGACACAUACUAGCUGUCAAUUUUGCAAAAGAACACAAUUUAUAAUCUCAAAAAAGCAAUUAGGUUGAUUUUGAAGAGCCCUUACAAGCAAAAAAGACUGAUAUGUGAUAUUUUGAUUUUCUUUGCAUACAGCUUUAAGCACACCCAUAUUGCAUAAUACCCGUAUCACAAAAAGGGUUCAAGAUUUUGCAUUUCCAACUUCAGAAAUUAAUUUUACACUAAAUUUCAGUCUAGAAAACAUAUUUAACAUCCUUUGUUUUGAAACUUUAUAUUUUUGGAUUUUUGUCAGUCAAACCUGCUUAAAAUCUGAAAGCGUGUCAUACAGUACAAUGUAGAGAACUCACAAACUUACACUUCGGUUUUAAUAAUCGAUUUCAAAUUUUAGAACACCGUUAGUCUGCCCCUGGUCUAGUCUUGAUACAAAAUCAGGAUGUGGGAUUUUUCAUGAAAUAGCAUUUUAAAAUGUGUUACUAUUUGUUUUUGUUUUUUGAUACUAAUUCAAGUUCCCAAAAUGAAUUAAGCUUGUCAUUCCCAUAAAUAGGAUGAAGCAUGUUGUACAACCUUGCAGUUCAGUUUUGCCUUUAUUGGCUGCACUGUCUUGUAAACCUGAUUUCUGGGUGAUGUACACACUCAGGACCUUGGCCUCCUUGCUACAUGUGUGUAGAUGUAAUGCGAUUAGAGGAAAUUUAUUGAAAAACCUUUUGUCUGUAACAUUGAUAACAUUCUGUUGCAUAGGAUAACUCUAAGAUAAAUGUUAUGGGAUUCAGUACCAGUGAAAUACCUGGAUGUGUGCUUUUGAACCGUUAGAUAAACAUUAAU